UGUCUUAAGCUUAGACAUGUUAUGUUGCAAUGUGUCGUUUAUUUUGUAGCUUCUGAAUUCUGCACACACAUGAGCCUACGGUCAUGGAGCAAGACAAAAUUCAGUUGGAGAACUAUUCCAGACCUGGAUAUUCUACAAUGGCAGUAACAGUCACCAACUAGUUCUAUUAAAAAUGGCGAACACUCAGCGCACAACAGGUGGUUACACAUUUUCGAUUCAGAAAGGCCUUACCUUCUCAAUUAAAUGGGAAAUCGAUGUCGAUAAAUCAAUAACCUGAAAUUGGCUAUUUAAUUAAUGGCAAUAGUAAAUUUUGUGUUUUAUACAUAAUUGGUAAAAAACGAAUAAGUAAAUGAGGUUUCCGAUA